AAUUAACACCGGACGACUCCUCAGCCGCCGGACGGCCCGGCAGCAGAGCCCUUUUUGCGGGAGGAAGGGCUGCAAGUCCCGCUUCCGCUUCCGCGCCGCUUCUAACCCGACAGCGGAAGUGCCGGGACCCCUAUAAACGGCACAAGGAAGCGCGACACGCACACGCCGUCGCGACGCCACGCUGCCAUCUAGGGCCCGCCGCUCCUUGUACGGGCACAGGAGGUGGGGCCUGCUGCCUGACGUCGAAGUCGAGGCGGGGCUCCGAUAGGGGGAACCUGGGGCUGGGGGCGGGGCCUAUGCAAAUCGCUGGGCUGAAACAUAAAUAGAGCACUCCGCGGACACGGGGGUGGCGGGGGCGGCCGGGUUGGAUGCGCGGUGGGUUGUGAGAAUGUCAGGCUCCUGUGACGCGGGAGGCGGGGCCCAGGCGGGGUUCCCGCGGGAGGGGGCGGGCCGCCGGGCCGGGCCUGAGGUGGGUGGGUCCCUGCGCCCCCUGCCUGCUCAACUUCCCUCUCCAGCUCCCGGCUCGUCUUUGAUGUCCGACAAAGUCUGACCCUGGGCGUAUGUGUCUGUGGCUCUAUAGGCCUGUGUCCUGGACGAGGUACUUGACAAACUGUGCUGGAACCUGCCUCAUCUCCUGCCACCUCAGAGCUUUCAGGUCCUCUGAAGACUACGUCUGGAAGGUGGCUAGACUGACUGGAAAGAUUGUAUCCGGGGACUUCGGUCUGCUAUCCUAUACUCACAGCCCUGAUGUCUUUUGUGGGAACACGUGUUUGCCUAUGAACUGUCUGUGCAUGUUUUUGGCAGGUCCCCUUCCCUGCCCCACCCCAGCCUCUGCCAGGUCCGCCUGCAGAGCCCUUGGUCACAAAGCCUUUGAG
rnacentral:lncRNA from 1 species